GAAGGAAGCAAGUUAUAAUUAUAAAAGGACAGAAUUUGAUUGUCACAUUUUGAAUGUAAUAUGGUGAUUUUAUGAAAAAUAUCUUAAAAUUUAAUUGGGUUUUUAGUGGGUUUAGGCCUUGAUGCUGCAAAUUUCUUUGAACAAGUCUGUUGUGCAUUAUUAUGUUUCACUAAUAUGACAUAAAUAUAUAUAGUCUGACUUUCUAAAAUCUCGAGCCACUAGGAGAGCUGAAAAUUUUGGCAAAUCAUGCCUCCAUAGUGUAAUGAUUUCCACGCACUUGUAUCAUGUGGACUGUUUCCCACCUGUAUAUGCUUUUAUUUAUUUGUUAUUACCAGUGUUGUCAAGAGGCACCCAGG
rnacentral:misc_RNA from 1 species